GAUGAACGCUGGCUACAGGCUUAACACAUGCAAGUCGAGGGGAAACGACGGGGAAGCUUGCUUCCCCGGGCGUCGACCGGCGCACGGGUGAGUAACGCGUAUCCAACCUGCCUCUGACUGAGGGAUAACCCGUCGAAAGUCGGCCUAAUACCUCAUGGCAUCGUCUGCGGGCAUCCAACGACGAUUAAAGAUUUCAUCGGUCAGAGAUGGGGAUGCGUCUGAUUAGCUUGUUGGCGGGGUAACGGCCCACCAAGGCGACGAUCAGUAGGGGUUCUGAGAGGAAGGUCCCCCACAUUGGAACUGAGACACGGUCCAAACUCCUACGGGAGGCAGCAGUGAGGAAUAUUGGUCAAUGGGCGAGAGCCUGAACCAGCCAAGUAGCGUGCAGGAUGACGGCCCUAUGGGUUGUAAACUGCUUUUAUGCGGGGAUAAAGUGAGGGACGUGUCCUUCAUUGCAGGUACCGCAUGAAUAAGGACCUGCUAAUUCCGUG
rnacentral:rRNA from 1 species